rnacentral:misc_RNA from 1 species
CAUCAACAUGGGUAUCAAAUGAAAGGUCACAAGUAAAAUACAAUUUACUAUGCAAAAUUGAAAUCUAAGCUGGCCGCCGCUACCAAAUGUCUGAUAACAAUUUUUUAUCAAUCCCACCAAUAUGGGUAUCAAAUAAAAGGGCUUGACAAGAAGAAUACAGUGCACUAUACAACCUCAAUAUUUAAGAUGGGCCUUGCAAUAAUGAAGCACUAAAUGAAUUAAACAGAAUGCGAAAUAAAA